CCCUACGGGGCGCAGCAGUGGGGAAUUUUGGACAAUGGGCGCAAGCCUGAUCCAGCCAUGCCGCGUGCGGGAAGAAGGCCUUCGGGUUGUAAACCGCUUUUGUCAGGGAAGAAACGGCUCUUUCUAAUAAAGAGAGCUAAUGACGGUACCUGAGGAAUAAGCACCGGCUAACUACGUGCCAGCAGCCGCGGUAAUACGUAGGGUGCAAGCGUUAAUCGGAAUUACUGGGCGUAAAGCGUGCGCAGGCGGCUUUGCAAGACAGAUGUGAAAUCCCCGGGCUCAACCUGGGAACUGCAUUUGUGACUGCAUGGCUAGAGUACGGUAGAGGGGGAUGGAAUUCCGCGUGUAGCAGUGAAAUGCGUAGAUAUGCGGAGGAACACCGAUGGCGAAGGCAAUCCCCCUGACCUGUACUGACGCUCAUGCACGAAAGCGUGGGGAGCAAACAGGAUUAGAUACCCUAGUAGUC
rnacentral:rRNA from 1 species